ACGUAGGGGGCAAGCGUUGUCCGGAUUUAUUGGGCGUAAAGAGCGUGUAGGCGGCCAGACAGGUCCGUUGUGAAAACUGGAGGCUUAACCUCCAGACGUCGAUGGAAACCGUUUGGCUAGAGUCCGGAAGAGGAGAAUGGAAUUCCUGGUGUAGCGGUGAAAUGCGCAGAUAUCAGGAAGAACACCCGUGGCUAAGGCGGUUCUCUAGUACGGUACUGACGCUGAGACGCGAAAGCGUGGGGAGCGAACAGGAUUAGAUACCCUGGUAGUCCACGCCGUAAACGAUGGGUGCUAGGUGUGGGGGGUGUCGACUCCCCCCGUGCCGAAGCUAACGCAUUAAGCACCCCGCCUGGGGAGUACGGCCGCAAGGCUA
rnacentral:rRNA from 1 species